rnacentral:rRNA from 1 species
GUCCCAAGGGUUGGGCUGUUCGCCCAUUAAAGCGGUACGCGAGCUGGGUUUAGAACGUCGUGAGACAGUUCGGUCCCUAUCCUCUGUAGCCGUAGGAGAUUUGAGAAAGGCUGUCCCUAGUACGAGAGGACCGGGAUGGACGCAGCUCUCGUGUGCCAGUUGUUCCGCCAGGAGCAUGGCUGGUUGGCGACCUGCGGAAAGGAUAAGCGCUGAAAGCAUCUAAGCGCGAAACCUGUUUCGAGAUGAGAUCUCCCACUGGAUAACCAGGUAAGGCCCGUGGCAGACCACCACGUUGAUAGGCCGGAUGUGUAAGCACGGUAACGUGUUCAGCAGACCGGUACUAAUCGGCCGAGGGCUUGGGCUC